GGCAGCAGCGAGUCAUGGCGAGGCUCCCCGGGGGCGCCCAGAGUCUGCACCACCGACACAUCCAGUUGGAGGCGGCUGAGAAGGUGAAGAUGGCCACAACCUUGUUCUGGCCUCGCUCCGGUGGAGAAGCACCACCCCCACAGCCACGAAACACUACCUCCCCAACUGGGAAGAGACCUGUGCUUGGUGGUGUCCAGCUGAAGUCCCUCCCACCACCUCUGGGUCCUGCAUGAGAGCCAGUGCAGAAUGGAGCGCAGACCUCAUUGAAGAGCACUCACACUUUUCAUUUCCAAACUACACCUAGCUCAUAAAAAGCCCACGACUGUAAUAAAUUCUCC